GGGGCGGCGCGCGAGGAGAGCGGGCUCCGGGGCUCUCGCGGGACCCACGCGCCCGCGGUGCAGCCGCUCCUCCCCGCCCGCCGCCGCCGUCCCGCGGGGACCUGCGGCUUCUGGGCCCGGACGCUGAGCACGUGCAGCCGGCAGAGCGCCGUGGCGGGUGGUGUCUGCCCCGGCUGGGCCUGCCCUUGACUAAGAUGCUAAGGUCCCGCCUGGGGUCGCUGGUGCCGCCGGGAUUCGUUAGGUUGGGCCCGGGCUCCGAAGCCACCCAAGCUGCCUCCUCCACCGUUCCAUCUGGUUAUCAAGAAACCCCGCAGAGUCUCUGUACACUGCGGAAUGCUGGGUCCCCAACCCAGCCCGCCCAGUCCCUGCCCUGCCCAUGGGAUGCUCACGUUGGUGAGGGCGCCGGAGACAGCCCCACACAGGUGGAAACAUUCAGCAAAGGAUACAGAGCAAGUCCAGGGACUGAGAGGGCCAGUCUCUUGCUUCUGAGCGGACUCACAGAGUGACGACUCCCUCCCGUUGGCCCCCAGCUGCUCACCCGUCCCUGCUACUUAAGCAGCUUGGUCCAGACUGGUUUGGGAAAACCAGACCCAGAAUUGGAGUAGUCCAGACAGGAAGUUUCUUGGCAGUGUUCUCUGUCCUGGAACCGAUGUCUGCUGAUCAGACAGCCCUCUGGAGAGGCCCACAGAGACAUGGACAGAGCCUUCUGCCAACAGCCACAUGGUUGAACUUGGAGUGGACCCUCCAGCGCUACUCAGGCCUCCUGGGAUGCAGCCCCAGCCAAGAGCGUGGCUGCACCCCCUCAUUCACCUGAGCCAGAACCCCUCAGGGAAGCCACUCCCAGAUUCCCGACCUCAGAAACUAUGGGACAAUAAAGGCCUGUGGUUUAAAGCAG